rnacentral:rRNA from 1 species
CAUGGAUAACUGUGGUAAUUCUAGAGCUAAUACAUGCAGCAAGCCUUGACCCUUACGGGCAAGGCGCAGUUAUUAGAUCAAAAACCAAUCGGUUGUGUCUUCGGAUGCAGCCGUUAGCUUGGUGACUCUGAGUAACCACAGCGAACCGUAUGGCCUCGUGCUCGACGGUCUGUCAGUCAAGCAACUGCCUUAUCAGCUUGUUGUUAGGUUAUAUGCCUAACAAGGCUUCAACGGGUAACGAACGAUCGGGGUCGGAUAUCGGAGAGGGAGCUUGAGAAACGGCUACCACUUCCAAGGAAGGCAGCAGGCGCGCAAAUUACCCACUCUCGGCAUGAGGAGGUAGCGAUAAAAUGUAUCGAUGCGGGGCCAUUAGUGCCUUCGUAAUCGGAAUGAGUACACUUUAAAUCCUAUAACGAGGACCUAUUGGAGGGCAAGUCUGGUGCCAGCAGCCGCGGUAAUUCCAGCUCCAAUAGCGUAUGUUAAUGCUGCUGCGGUUAAAAAGCUCGUAGUCGGAUCUGGGUUACCGGCGGGUACCGCAUGUUGCUUCACGCAGCAUGUUGUGUACUAUACGUGUCGCUUCGGCGGCACUGCCAGUGUAACAGUGCUCCUCGUGGGUGCUUUGCAUUGGUCGCCGGAACCACGAGCCGGGUUGAGCAGCAUGCUCUUAAUUGAGUGUGUUGUUUACUCGGUGCGUUUACUUUGAAAAAAUUGGAGUGCUCAAAGCAAGCGUACAGUCGCUAUGCGGCUUGAACAGUGGUGCAUGGAAUAAUGGAAUAGGGCCUCGGUUCUAUUUUGUUGGUUUUAAGAUAUCGAGGUAAUGAUUAAGAGGGACAGACGGGGACGUUUGUAUUGCGACGUUAGAGGUGAAAUUCUUGGAUCGUCGCA